rnacentral:rRNA from 1 species
UACGAAGGGGCUAGCGUUGUUCGGAAUUACUGGGCGUAAAGCGUAUGCAGGCGGACUUUUAAGUCGGGGGUGAAAUCCCGAGGCUCAACCUCGGAACUGCCUUCGAUACUGGAAGUCUUGAGUCCGGGAGAGGUGAGUGGAACUCCGAGUGUAGAGGUGAAAUUCGUAGAUAUUCGCAAGAACACCAGUGGCGAAGGCGGCUCACUGGCCCGGUACUGACGCUGAGGUGCGAAAGCGUGGGGAGCAAACAGGG